ACAAAACCACCAAACAACAAUGAAUCUCUUCAGCAGCUUCAUCUGGAUUCUGACAGCUUUUAUUCCAGCAGCAUCCAGAGGAAUCACUGUGACUCAGCCUGAAGUUCUGACUGUUUCUAAAGGACAAGAUGCCACUAUAGAGUGUAAAACUGAUGCUGGAAUAGAUAGCUGGGGUUUAGCUUGGUAUCAGCAGAAACCCGGAGAAACUCCUAAACUCAUCAUUACUGGAGUAAACGAUCGCUAUGGUAACAGUUUCAGUCGAUUCAGUGGGAAUGGAGAACAAGGUGGAACUGAUUUCACUCUGACCAUCAGUGGA